CUCGUCGAGGGCAUCUUAUCAAGAACACAAAUCUCAACGCAACAGGGAACGAGAAGCGAGAGAUCGCAGCUCUCAAAGCAAAGCGAUGCAAUGCAACGCAACAUCAUCUUCUUUCGAUACCUAGGAGGCAAGAGGAAGAGAAGACAAGAGAGGGGAUGGGGAUGGGGAGGAUCGCACCGUUGAAGAAGCCUCACGCGUCGACCGCCCGGCCCCACCAGGUCGGAUCUGUCGCGCCCGCCUGCCAACGCCUCUGGUCCUUUUCGCCAGUUCUCGCCCUUCUCCCAGUACCCGAGGGUCGUUGUUCUUCUCCUUUGGUCGUGACAAUUGUAGCCGUCGGAUGGGAUCCAUAAGUUGGUUUUCGGCGGCCUGAUGAGCGCUGAGGAGGACGGCGUGGUAAUGCAACAUUAGGUUUCGGAGACUUGUACAGGUCCCAAGUUAAAAGAAAUGACUGGAAAGUGGCAUCUUUGUAGUUCACAACAUUGGUGAUCAACUAGAAUCAGAGAAUUCUUUCUCGACUCCUAGCGAUUGGACAGAUUCACGAAUCAGAUAUUAUUCCCUAUUAAGCCUGGAGUUCUGGUAUUCCACAAAAGUUAAGACAUCUGAGUCCUGUUUGAAGAAAACUAGAAAAGCAGAUCCACAAGUCAUCCUGUUCCAGAAGUUAGAUAUUCUUCCUACUGCCGGUCUAAACAAUUUCUUGUUUUGUGAAGAAACUGUGGUCGAGACUUCUGAUUAAAUCCAUGCUCUGAAGAUACCAGAACUCACAGGCAAUGAUCUCUUCAAAGAUGUUGCACCACCAGGAUUUAUAGAAACGACAAGAAGCACGACAAAGCUUAAAUAAACGAGUGAUAAUGAUUUUCAAUGACAGGAAGCAUCCUCUUCAAGCUGUGGUGCCUGCAAACCUCCCGGUGGUGAAAGCGGUAUGACACUAGUUUGAAGUAUCUUUUCUGGCACAGUCGUUUAUGGUAGCUUCUUGACAGCAUUCGGACCAGCUGAGGGAUCUCCCUCUCUUAAUGCACUUUGACCGCAUGCUGUGUUCUGAUGUUAUCCUGAUAUGAUGAUGUCCUGCUUAGAUAAUCUGUGUUCCGAACGAACUUGUAUUUAUUUGUAUUUGAUAUAAAUUGUUAGCACGGUGAACAACUCUCUUGAUCGUGUGUGGCUCAAAUUACAUGAAGGCAUGUCCGGUGAGCAAACUAUAUUUCUGAUGAUAAGAAUUACAGUUCUCCAGAUGGUUGGCGCUGGCCAUGGUGAAAUGAUCUUGCGCUACUUUGCGGCCCAUACCCAGCAGUCAUCGUGGUGCUCUACAAAUGCAAAGCAUCGACCUCCAGGAUGAUAAUGUCAUAUAUGUAUGGUGUGACUUGAAUACCUUGAUGGUCUGUCUCGUCUCGCCCUCAUCAUUUUAUCUGCUUCUUGA